GGAUCAGUACGAUGGUCGUGCCUCUGGUACGUACUGUUGUGACUGGUUCCUCCCUUCUGAAGAACUGUCAUGUCAUUAAUUUGGUGUGGCGGGGAAUCAGGACUGUUACUUUGAAAAAAUUAGAGUGUUUAAAGCAGGCAUUUUUUGCUCGAAUACAUUAGCAUGGAAUAAUAAAAUAGGACGGUUGGUUCUAUUUUGUUGGUUUCUAGGAUCACCGUA
rnacentral:rRNA from 1 species